AACGAACGCUGGCGGCAUGCCUAACACAUGCAAGUCGAGCGGGGUUUUCGGACCUAGCGGCGGACGGGUGAGUAAUGCGUAGGAAGCUGCCCGAUAGAGGGGGAUACCAGUUGGAAACGACUGUUAAUACCGCAUAAUGUCUACGGACCAAAGUGUGGGACCUUCGGGCCACAUGCUAUCGGAUGCGCCUACGUGGGAUUAGCUAGUUGGUGAGGUAAUGGCUCACCAAGGCGACGAUCUCUAGCUGGUUUGAGAGGAUGAUCAGCCACACUGGAACUGAGACACGGUCCAGACUCCUACGGGAGGCAGCAGUGGGGAAUAUUGGACAAGGGGCGCAAGCCUGAUCCAGCCAUGCCGCGUGUGUGAAGAAGGCCUUCGGGUUGUAAAGCACUUUCAGCGAGGAGGAAGGGUGAUGUGUUAAUAGCACAUCAUUUUGACGUUACUCGCAGAAGAAGCACCGGCUAACUCUGUGCCAGCCGCCGCCGUAACAC
rnacentral:rRNA from 1 species